UACAGAGACUGCAAGCGUUACUCGGAUUCACUGGGCGUAAAGGGAGCGCAGGCGGGAAGAUGUGUCGAUUGUGAAACCCCGGAGCUCAACUCCGGGACUGCGGUCGAAACUGUCUUUCUAGGGACUCGGAGGGGCCGGUGGAAUUCCUGGUGGAGCAGUGAAAUGCGUGGAUAUCAGGAGGAACACCAACGGCGAAGGCAGCCGGCUGGACGAGAUCCGACGCUCAGGCUCGAAAGUAUGGGGAGCAAAAAGG
rnacentral:rRNA from 1 species